rnacentral:rRNA from 1 species
GCCCAGACUCCUACGGGAGGCAGCAGUGAGGGAUAUUGGUCAAUGGGGGAAACCCUGAACCAGCAACGCCGCGUGAGGGAAGACGGUUUUCGGAUUGUAAACCCCUGUCCUCUGUGAAGAUAAUGACGGUAGCAGAGGAGGAAGCUCCGGCUAACUACGUGCCAGCAGCCGCGGUAAUACGUAGGGGGCAAGCGUUGUCCGGAAUGACUGGGCGUAAAGAGAGUGUAGGCGGCCUUGUAAGUUAGAUGUGAAAUCCUACGGCUUAACCGUAGAACUGCAUCUAAAACUGUGAGGCUGGAGUGCAGGAGAGGUGAGUGGAAUUCCUAGUGUAGCGGUGGAAUGCGUAGAUAUUAGGAGGAACACCAGAGGCGAAGGCGACUCACUGGACUGUAACUGACGCUGAGGCUCGAAAGCGUGGGGAGCAAACAGGAUUAGAUACCCUGGUA